rfam:Nanohaloarchaea archaeon SG9, complete genome.
AACUGGAUCACUGCCAUGCUGGGUAGUGGAUAGCUCGGUUCGAGAAGCCGAUGAAGGACGUGGCAAGCUGCGAUAAGCUUGGGUGAGGCGCAUGCAGCCUUUGAGCCCAAGAUUUCCUAAUGCGACUUCGUGUGUCGUUUCGGCGACACGGCUCUAACGAGUCGGGAACGCGGUGAAUUGAAACAUCUUAGUAGCCGUAGGAAAAGAAACCAAAAUGGGAUUCCCUUAGUAGCGGCGAGCGGAAGGGGAAUUAUGCACAAACUGAACACGGUUUCCGAGAGGAACUGUGGAUGUGGGUUAGGCCGUCUUUCUGGACCACGCAGCCAAGUUGAGGUCUCCUGGAAAGGAGCGCCAUAGAGAGUGAUAGCCUCGUAAACAGACGCUGCACCGUCCAUUGACGUGCCAAGAGUACCAUGGGUUGGAAAUCCCGUGGGAAUAUGGGAGGCACUAUUCUUCCAAUGCUAAAUACUUCUCGAGUCCGAUAGCGUACUAAGUACCGUGAGGGAAAGCUGAAAAGCACUCUUCAAAGGAGGCUUAAAAGAGCUUGAAACUAUCUAGUUCUAGGCUCGACAGGGCGUUUAAGCGUCGAUACCUGUGAAAGAAUCUGCCGAGAGGCUUUAGUAUGAAUCAGGUGGAGCCGCGUUCUGUCAUCCGUUUUGAAAAACGGGGCAGGGAGUUGGAUACCGUGGCAAGACUAACCACUUUUCGGUGGGGAGUCGUAGGGAAACCAAGAAGACCGCAGCACAUUCGUGUCAGGGUCCUCGUGUUAACGUGCGAGAAGUCACCGUGUCCUUAUCCGAAACUGGUCGAUCUAGGCCUGACCAAGGUGAAGCGGCGCGAAAGCUCCGUGGAGGCCUGAACCGGUGCUGUGUUACAAGCGCUCGGAUGAGUUGGGUCUAGGGGUGAAAUGCCAAUCGAGAUCAGUAAUGGCUGGUUCUUCUCGAAAUGAAUCGAAGUUCAGCCUCGAGCGAGGCUUAUUACACAGGUAAAGCUACUGAUUCUGGUUACCUGUAGGCUUUGCCUACAGGACCGGAGUCAAACUCUGAACUGUGUAAUGCCGUAGACCUCGGGAGUGAGGGACGGUGAGUAAGUUACCGUUCCUAGAGGGAAACAACCCAGAGCAAGGUUAAGGCCCCCAAUUCCUAACUAAGUGCCCAUGAAGGGCGUCCCGGUUCUGAGACAGCAGGGAGGUUAGCUUAGAAGCAGCUACCCUUUAAAGAUAGCGUAACAGCUCACCUGUUGAGAACUGGGGCACCGUAAAUGGACGGGGCUCAAGUUAGGAGCCGAUACCUUGCCAUUGUUUCUACAAUGGAUAGAGAAGCGAUCCGCAUGGACAGAAGCAUGGAGGUGACUUCGUGUGGACCGUGUGGAUACGAGAAUCCUGCCGGCAGUAUCAUCGCAAGACAGAUGUGAACUCUGUCCGCCGCAAGAGUAAGGGUUCCUCGGCAAUGAUUAUCAGCCGAGGGUUAGUCGGUCCUAAUUCCAGUCGUAAUUCGCACUGGAAGAAUAGGGAAACAGGUUAAUAUUCCUGUACCUACUUACACUCACUGACGUCUCUGGAUAACAUAAACUGCGCCAUCGCGCAGUCCAAGCAGUCAAACUGGACGAGCGUAAUGCUUAGACUCCGGCGGAGCUGUGAUGGGCCUGGGAAUUAUCCCGGGUUUAUGUGAUUCCUGGGACCCUUGAAAAAGUGUAAGAGACCGUACCCAGAUCCAGCACAGGUACUCUGGCUUCAUAGGCUAAGGCGUCUCGGGUUAACGCAGCUUAGGGAAUUCGGCAAGUUAGCCCCGUACCUUCGGUAUAAGGGGUGCCUAUCGUCUUGUUACGAUAGGUCUCAGUGACUAGGGAAGCUCGACUGUUUACUAAAAACAUAGCCGACUGCUAGUCCGAAAGGAUUUGUAUAGUCGGCGACUCUUGCCCAGUGCCAGCACCUGAAACCUCCGUCCAAGGAGAAGAAGGGCUGGUAAACGGCGGCGGUAACUAUGACCGUCUUAAGGUAGCGUAGUCCCUUGCCAAUUAAUUAUUGGCCCGCAUCAAUAGAGCAACGAGGUUUCCACUGUCCCAAGCUGUGGCCCGGUGAACCCGCCGUACCGGCGCAUAGGCCGGUGACUCCCGGUGGGAAGCGAAGACCCUUUGAACCUUUACUGCAGUCUAUCGUUGCGGUGGGGUUCCAAGUGUGAAGUGUAGUUAGAAGACGUUACAGAGACGCGAUCGCCAGGUCGUCGCCCAGUCGAUCAUGGGACACUAACCUCUUGGAACCCCGCUGCUUGACCUCUACGGAGGGACAGCGAUAGCCGGGCAGUUUAACUGGGGCGGUAUCCGUUUGAUAACGAAUCAAACGGGUCCAAAGGUAGGCUCAGUCCGGUCAGAACUCGGACGUUGAGGACAAAGCCAAAAGCCUGCCUGACUGGUCUCCUGACAGUAUGGGGACCAGGCGCGAAAGCGAGGCUUAGCGAACGCCUACAGCCAAUUAGUGAGGCUUAGGCCUGACAAAAAAGGUACUCAAGGGAUAACUGGAUUGUCUAGGGCGCGAGCUCACAUCGACCCCUAGGCUUGUUACUUCGAUGUCGGCUCUCCGUAUCCUGGCUGUGCAACAGCAGCCAAGGGUGAGGGUGUUCACCUAUUAAAACGGAUCGUGAGCUGGGUUUAGAUCGUCGUGAGACAGAUCUGUUGCUAUCUGCCGGGAGUGUUCAGUGGUCUGAGAGGAAAGUUCGGACAGUACGAAAGGAACCCCGAACUGAGGCCUCUGGUUUAUCGGUCAUCCGAGAGGGUGAAUGCCGAGUAGCCACGCCUCACAGGUGUAAAAGCUGAAAGCAUCUAAGCUUGAAAGCCUCCUCAAAAAGAGACCGCAUCCACGCUUGUACAAGACAAGUUGAUAGAGUGGCGGUGUAAGAGUCAAGGCAACGAGACUUUCAGCCGACCACUACUAACAGUGGGUUCUGAUCCAGCG